rnacentral:misc_RNA from 1 species
AAAAAUUAUAAGCAAAACCCAUAAUUUGCUUUGACUCCAUAUAGCCUUAAUUUUACCUCAAUUCUUCCUUCUAUAAAAAACCCACCAUCUAUUGCCUUUGCCUCAGAAAAAUUGCUUCCCCUUGUGAAGCUUCUGACCAGAAGGCCAAAAAUGGAGUUGUUCUUUCUUAUUGCCUUAACCAUUUUCAUUAUCAUUGUUACUUUCCCAAUUGUUGCUCUCUUGCACAGGCCAAGUUUCACUAACCUCCCACCAGGCAAGAUGGGCUUGCCAUACAUAGGAGAGAGCCUGGAAUUCCUUUCCACAGGAAGAAAAGGUCAUCCUGAAAAGUUUAUAUCAGAUAGAAUGGCCAGAUACUCUCCUCAACUUUUCAGGACUUCAAUUCUCGGUGAACAAACCGCAGUCGUCUGUGGUGCUCAAGGCAAUAAGUUCUUGUUCUCUAAUGAGAACAAGCUUGUCACUGCUUGGUGGCCUAAUUCAAUAUUGAAACUCUUCCCUUCCUCUGCUCAUAGCUCUAUCCAAGCAGAAGGUAUGAGAAUGAGAAAGAUGUUACCUAACUUUCUCAAACCUGAGGCCUUGCAGAGAUACAUAAGUGUAAUGGAUUCGAUGGCACAAAGACAUUUUGAGGACUUCUGGGAAGGGAAGGAACAAGUGACUGUAUAUCCACUUGCAAAGUUUUAUACUUUCACAGUUGCUUGUAAAGUGUUCCUGAGCAUGGAUGAUUCAAAACAUGUCACCAAGUUUGCUACUCCUUUCAAUGAUAUGGCCUCAGGAAUCAUUUCCAUUCCCAUUGAUUUGCCUGGAACAUCUUUCCAUCGCGGAAUCAAAGCCUCAAAGAUUAUCAGGAACGAGAUGUUGGCAAUGAUCAAGCAAAGGAGGAAGGAUCUUGCUGAGAAUAAAGCUUCUCCAAUGCAAGAUAUACUUUCACAUAUGUUGGUAGCAACUGAUGAAGAUGGGCAGCGCUUGGGGGAUGUUGGGAUAGCUGAUAAGAUCAUCUCUCUGCUCAUUGGAGGCCAUGACACAGCAAGUGCUACCAUCACUUUCGUGGUCAAGUUUCUUUCUGAGCUCCCUGAGAUCUACAACAAUGUUCUGAAAGAGCAAUUGGAGAUUUUAAAAUCAAAAGCACCAGGGGAGUUAUUGAACUGGGAAGACAUCCAGAAGAUGAAAUACUCAUGGAAUGUGGCCUGUGAGGUGAUGAGAUUAGCCCCACCUCUACAAGGUUCCUUCAGAGAAGCCUUACAUGACGUCAACUAUGCUGGCUUCUCCAUUCCAAAGGGAUGGAAAUUAUAUUGGAGCACACAUACAACACACAAGAAUCCUCAAUACUUUCCACAACCUGAAAAAUUCGACCCUUCAAGAUUUGAAGGAUCAGGACCGGCACCUUACACAUUUGUUCCAUUUGGAGGAGGGCCAAGAAUGUGCCCUGGAAAAGAGUACGCAAGAUUGGAAAUACUAGUUUUCAUGCAUAAUAUAGUGAGGAGGUUCAAGUGGGAGAAAGCGAUUCCUGAUGAAAAAAUUGUUGUAGACCCCAUGCCAAUACCUGCUAAAGGGCUUCCAGUUCAUCUCUAUCCUCAAAAACACGAGUAAUUUGUCCAAAAAGAAUGGCUUCUGUCUUGUAACUCCUGCAAACAGCAAUCCCUUCUGUAUAAGCAUGAUCCUAAUAAUUCCUAUUGGCUUGAAACUCUAUUCAUAUGGUUAAAUUUACUUGCAUUUUCUCCUUCCCCUUUAAUGAAUUCCAUUGUACAAGUGAAUGAAAGUUAAUAUUUUCUAAGAACAUCCCGAAUGAUUCUAGAAACUAAGUUAUAACUUUACUCAUC